UACGAAGGGGGCUGGCGUUGUUCGGAAUUACUGGGCGUAAAGCGCGCGUAGGCGGCUUUGCAAGUCGAGUGUGAAAUCCCCAGGCUUAACCUGGGAACUGCAUUCGAGACUGCAUAGCUAGAGUAUGGGAGAGGGAAGUGGAAUUUCAGGUGUAGCGGUGAAAUGCGUAGAUAUCUGAAGGAACAUCAGUGGCGAAAGCGACUUCCUGGACCAAUACUGACGCUCAUGUGCGAAAGCGUGGGGAGCAAACAGG
rnacentral:rRNA from 1 species